UACGAAGGGGGCUAGCGUUGCUCGGAAUCACUGGGCGUAAAGGGUGCGUAGGCGGGUCUUUAAGUCAGGGGUGAAAUCCUGGAGCUCAACUCCAGAACUGCCUUUGAUACUGAAGAUCUUGAGUCCGGGAGAGGAGAGUGGAAUUCCUGGUGUAGCGGUGAAAUGCGUAGAUAUCAGGAGGAACACCGGUGGCGAAGGCGGCUCUCUGGACGGUGACUGACGCUGAGACGCGAAAGCGUGGGGAGCAAACAGG
rnacentral:rRNA from 1 species